AUUGAACGCUGGCGGCAGGCCUAACACAUGCAAGUCGAACGAGUGGCGGACGGGUGAGUAAUGUCUGGGAAACUGCCCGAUGGAGGGGGAUAACUACUGGAAACGGUAGCUAAUACCGCAUACCAUCGGAUGUGCCCAGAUGGGAUUAGCUAGUAGGUGGGGUAACGGCUCACCUAGGCGACGAUCCCUAGCUGGUCUGAGAGGAUGACGGGCCCGACGGGAAAGGGGCGACGGUCAAGACGCCUACGGGAGGCAGCAGUGGGGAAUAUGGCAGAAUGGGCGCAAGCCUGAUGCAGCCAUGCCGCGUGUAGGAAGAAGGCCUUCGGGUUGUAAAGUACUUUCAGCGGGGAGGCGUUACUCGCAGAAGAAGCACCGGCUAACUCCGUGCCAGCAGCCGCGGUAAUAC
rnacentral:rRNA from 1 species